rnacentral:lncRNA from 1 species
AGAGAUGAUGGCGGAGGCAAGAGGACCUAUUAUUUCGUGUAGAUGCAGCAAAACCGAAGACUGUCGGGGCAUUUGCGCCGUGUGCCCUAACUAUAGCUGCAUUAAUAACCUUUGUACUUGCCUUUCAAAUGCACACACUCCAACAGUUGAAUGAAAUGGUGGGAUUUUUUUGUGUAAUUUGAAAUAAAUUAUCAUGCAAUGGAUCUAAUAAGAAAAAAUAUUGUAAUUAUUUUUAUUUUUAUUUUCUUUUUACCCAUCUCUGCCCCUCCCCCCUUUCUAGUAGCGAAAAGUAUGUUACAUUUCAAAAAUAUAAAAAGAGUUACAAUCUUGUUUUAAAACUAAAAGAAAUAACAGUAAGAAGAAAAGAUAGGAGAAAAAUUAGGACACAAAAUGAGAUGAUAAUUCUUCUUUCUACUUGUAUCUCAUAAGCUUGUAUAUGGCUUCAAUCUAUAGGGCUUCAACAAUUAUAGGCUAAAAAUAAUAAAAAUAGGAAUAUCAAAAAUCGCAAUAAAUUGAAUGGGUAUUUCAUGAGCUGCAAAUUCCACCGUAUUCUUUUGGUUGGGACACUGUGCUAAUUUAUUAACAACACCCUGCACUAGAUGUGUAUCAAAUGGAAACGUGCUCUGUUAAAACUUUAUUAGAAAAAAUUGCAUAAGCACCUGUUAUAAGCUAAAACAUUAAAAACAUUUUCUAAGAAAACUUAGCUGGACAAUACCUUGGGUAAAGGAAAGAGUAAACAUGUUUUAGACUCCCCCUAAUUUUAAAAAUAUUUAAACAUGGUACAAAUUUUGAAACAAUUUUUUGUUGCUAAAUACUUCGUCAAAGAGAAUCAUACUAUGAAGACAUGCCUUUUUAAUUACAAUGAUAACCAUUGAGUUUCAUUGUAUAAUCUAGGUUCAUUUGCCAAUAACUCUUUUGCACAUCAUAAUAUAGGUUGGAACGAAUAAAACUUUAAAUAAAGCGACAUUAAUACACGCAUGAAAGCCUCCAUUCAUUUCUUAUAAGUUUAUUUUUAUAUCCACAAUCAACAUUUUUCUUCUGCGGACAUGAUACCUUGCUAUUGCAUAUGAUUUAAGGAAAACUGUAUAUUAAAUUUAGCCUCCUGGCUUUGGAGAUUUCUACAUCCUAUCUCUCUUUCUUACCCCGUUGCAAGGAUGUUCAUGUAGACCACCUGAUAGAUAGUUGUAUGGUUUCUUUAUUCUUAUUGAAACACAUAUCGAGUCUUUCUUGACAUCACUGUGACUUUAAUAGUCAUUACCAAUAUGGUUUGAAUCUUGCAGGUUUUGAGUACAUUGGCGUGUCAUUCGGCCCAAUUAAAGGCUAUUAUUAUUGUUUCAAUUUGAGACCGCUCUCUUCUAGUUUUUCUUCUUCUUUUCUCGUUUUGGUUUCCUACCCUUUAUAUGCUUGUUGUAGUAUUUUUCCUUAAGUUAAUUUUGGAAAUACAUAGAAUCUAUUAAAUGGAGUGCCAUUAAUCUUAUCAACAUUAUAUCUCAUCAUCUUCUUGCUUGUUUUUAGGAUCUUUAUGGCCAUGGUUAGACAAGAGUGUAUCUAUCUUGUAACACUUAUUUUGGGAGAUGCAAUGUGCACAUUUUCUAAAAGUCCUACACUUUUACCUGUUGUGUCAAUGAGGCCAUCUUUAGGUAUUUCCCCCUCUAUUUAUUUCAUUAGUCAAAUUGGAUGUACUUUUAUGAACUUAAAAUCAAACAAUCACUUUUUGCUUUUUUGUAACCUCUCUUUUCAGGUCUGAUAACAUCGAUCAUGAAGUUGAGCUCCUCCGUGGAUAGCCUUGGUUAUUUGUUUCCAUUUAUUCACAAUCUCUUGCAACAAAAUUUGACAUUUUAACUGUAGUGAUAGUUUUAUUAGCCUUGUAGUGAGCCCAAGAUACCAACUGCUCCCACCCAUGAUUUUGAAUUUCAAAUACUUUAUUUAAAUGAUUUUGAUGUUUAGAAAUUUAAAAAAUAAACUAAUUUUCUUCUAAAGUUUAUUACUUAGCGAUCCGCUGCUUGGGAUAGGAAGAACUUAAACCCUGGGCCUGACAAACCUAGGAAGUCAUCUAGGUGAGAAUUAACCCAAAAUUGGUAUUGCCUAUCCAUGAACCUCUUACCUCAAGUUGGUCUGGACUGUGAGGUCGAAAGAUAAGUAGUUGUUUCCAACUCAUUAGUUUAGUGGAAGAUCGAGAGAUCCUACUAGGUUAGCGGCUAAUUGAUUGAGUAGAACCAAAAAUAGGAUUUAGUUAUGACCACUGAAGCGAGCUAAUCACUCAUGCUUAGAUUUUAUUGAAUCACAUAUUAGUUCUCCAUCUUUUUUAUUUUAUGCAAGUUUAUUUCUUUUCUUAUAAAAACAACUAUUUUUCACUUUAUGAUCAUUGUACUAUAAUUUAUUUAACUUACUAAUUAGAUCUAUUUGCGUUUAGGUUAAUAUUAAUUUAAUACUUGUCUCCCUUGGGUACGAUCCUCGAGUACUCACCUACUUCGUUGUAAAACUAUAUUGCAACCUGACUCGUAUACUUGAGGACACCGCCUCAAUUCAAUAUAUACUUUUAGCAAUAUUCACACUCUGGAUUCUAGUACGUCCGAAGGCAGUCACUUUCCAAAGUGGCGUGGAGUUUAUCUGCAAAUUAGUGGUGGCUCGUCUACAAUCCGGAGUGAUAUGUUAGACGAGUUCUGGGGAAUUCAUACGUGAUGUGUGUAGCGGAGUUGGGUAGGACUUUUCUGUUAAUUUGAAACUUUAAUGCAUUGAUAAGCAUGUGCAUAUAAAAUUGUGAAUACCAAUAUAGUGAAGUGAAGCGUUUUAUUUGAAAAACCGUUAAUCUGAGGUGCUUUGUGGUUGUCUUUAAUCUCAGGAUUGCUAAUUUAUGUGCCUUAUUGGUUUGCUGUUUUAUUUUGAUUUUCUUGUGCCUUCAUUAGUUUCUUAUAAGUCUAUUUUUAUAUCCAAAAUCAACAUUUUUCUUAUGCGGACAUGAUACCUUGCUAUUGCAUAUGACUUAAGGAAAACUGUAUAUUAAACUUAGCCUCCUGGCAUUGGAGAUUUCUACAUCCUAUCUCUCUUUCUUACUCCUUUGCAAGGAUGUUCAUGUAGGCCACCUGAUAGAUAGUUGUAUGGUUUCUUUAUUCUUAUUGAAACACAUAUCGGGCCUUUCUUUACAUCACUAUGACUUUAAUAGUCAUUACCAAUAUGGUUUGACUCUUGCAGGUUUUGAGUACAUUGGCGUGUCAUUCAGCCCAAUUAAAGGCUAUUAUUGUUGUUUCAAUUUGAAAUCGCUCUCUUCUAGUUUUUCUUCUUCUUUUCUCAUUUUGGUUUCCUACCCUUUAUAUGCUUGUUGUAGUAUUUUUCCUUAAGUUAAUUUUGGAAAUACAUAGAAUCUAUUGAAUGGAGUGCCAUUAAUCUUAUCAACAUUAUAUCUCAUCAUCUUCUUGCUUGUUUUUAGGAUCUUCAUGGCCAUGGUUAGACAAGAGUUUAUCUAUCUUGUAACACUUAUUUUGGGACAUGCAAUGUGCAAAUUUUCUAUAAGUCCUACACUUUUACCUGUUGUGUCAAUGAGGCCAUCUAUAGGUAUUUCCCCCUCUAUUUAUUUCAUUAGUCAAAUUGGAUGUACUUUUAUGAACUUAAAUCAAACAAUCACUUUUUGCCUUUUUGUAACCUCUCUUUUCAGGUCUGAUAACAUCGAUCAUUAAGUUGAGCUCCUCUGUGGAUAGCCUUGGUUGUUUGUUUCCAUUUAUUCACAAUCUCUUGCAACAAAUUUUGACAUUUUAACUGUAGUGAUAGUUUUAUUAACUUUGUAGCGAGCCCAAGAUACCAACUGCUCCCACCCAUGAUUUUGAAUUUUAAAUAUUUUAUUUAAAUGAUUUUGAUGUUUAGAAAUUUAAAAAAUAAACUAAUUUUCUUCUAAAUUUUAUUACUUAGCGAUCCGCUGCUUGGGAUAGGAAGAACUUAAACCCUAGGCCUGACAAACCUAGGAAGUCAUCUAGGUGAGAAUUAACCCAAAAUUUGUAUUGCCUAUCCAUGAACCUCUUACCUCAAGUUGGUCUGGACUGUGAGGUCGAAAGAUAAGUAGUUGUUGCCAACUCAUUAGUUUAGUGGAAGAUCGAGAGAUCCUACUACGUUAGCGGCUAAUUGAUUGAGUAGAACCAAAAAUAGGAUUUAGUUAUGACCACUGAAGCGAGCUAAUCACUCAUGCUUAGAUUUUAUUGAAUCACAUAUUAGUUCUCCAUCUUUUUUAUUUUAUGCAAGCUUAUUUCUUUUCUUAUAAAAACAACUAUUUUUCACUUUAUGAUCACCGUCCUAUAAUUUAUUUAAGUUACUAAUUAGAUCUAUUUGCGUUUAGGUUAAUAUUAAUUUAGUACUUGUCUCCCUUGGGUACAAUCCUACUUCGUUGUAACACUAUAUUCCAACCUGACUCGUAUACUUGAGGACACCGCCUCAAUUCAAUAUAUACUUUUAGCAAUAUUCACACCCUAGAUUCUAGUACGUCCGAAGGCGGUCACUUUCCAAAGUGGCACGUAGUUUAUCUGCAAAUCAGUGGUGGCUCGUCUACAAUUCGGAGUGAUAUGUUAGACGAGUUCUGGGGAAUUCAUAAGUGAGAUGUGUAGCGGAGUUGGGUAGGACUUUUCUGUUAAUUUGAAACUUCAAUGCAUUCAUAAGCACGUGCAUAUAAAAUUGUGAAUACCAAUAUAGUGAAGUGAGGCGUUUUAUGUGAAAAACCGUUAAUCUGAGGUGCUUUGUGGUUGUCUUUAAUCUCAGGAUUGCUAAUUCAUGUGCCUUAUUGGUUUGUUGUUUUAUUUUGAUUUUCUUGUGACUGAACUCACAUUGAGCUUCAUAGCUCACUGCCCUUUAGUUCCCAUCCUUAUAGAUAACCCACAAGGUUGGGAUGCAACAUAUGGAGGGCUCGAAAAAGUUUUAAUGUUAUAAAAGUAUUGUUAUGCUUAUUUUAAAAUUUAUGUUAUUUCGGAACUGUACGGUAUUAUUUAUUUUCUGGCAUUGGAUUCAUAUUUAGGUUUUGGUUUUAUAUUGCAAGCAUGACAUAUAAAUUGUUGUUUUUAAGAUGAUGAAAUAUGGAUUUCAAUUAAAUAUGCAUGAAAUAUUGAUGUUAGUAAAACUCAUGAAAAGCCAUUUUUCCGCUGAAAGGUCAUGAUUAAAUUUUGUCUAAUAACUACAAUAUAACUAUGUUUCCAAUAGCUAUCACAUUUUACAAGAAAAAUAUUAGUUUAAUUGUAUUUUAUAUACCCAUGAUUUGUUUUCUAAAAAUAGACACAGUCUUUGUAAGGAUAAAAAAAUAUUUUAAUGUGACUAUAUAAAAUCUUCGAUUGCACUAGGCCAUCACGGUGGCCGAUGUAAUCUCCCGAACUCGGGCCUACCGUCUAGGCCAAUUUGGGGAGGUUGCAAUUUCAAUGCCAUAAAGUACUAAAACCAUAUUUUCAAUCAUCUUCAGCAUAGAUUAUUUCAUGUUGAUAUGAGUUGAAUUAAAAUAUUUAAUUUGAACUUAUAAAUUUGUCAUAUUUAAGGGGAAAAAAAGUGGUUUUUACUUCAAACAAAAAGAAGAGAUAAAUUGUUACCAACUAAAUUGAUGAACAAGAAUUUGAUAUGAUAUAUACGUGAAUACAAUAAAAAUACAUUAAUUGCGCUACAAUUGUGUAUAAUAUCGUUUUUAUUUAGUUAUAUUGUGUUUGUACAAAAUUUGUAAAGAUAAAAUACUAUGCAUCAAAUAUGUUCAAUUCUAAUUCUAAUUCUAAUUCUAAUUCUAAUUCCAGUUCCAAUUUGAGUUUGAACUUGAUUUGGAACACAAAAAUUGAGCAUGAUGCCAAGUAUGAGAAUCCAACUCAAGUCUUAUCAAAUAAACAAGCCUAAAUAAAUCUAGUAAAGCUAAUUAAAGCAGUUUAAUCUUUAUCUUGUAUCAAGUUUAUAUUUUAAAAGUUAAACUCAAUGAAGUUAUAUUGGAGCAUUCAAUUCUCUAGGUUUCUAUGGAGAUUGAGAUUGAAUUUCUUGGCUCAGUUCAACCCCAUUAAAUAACUUUAAAUUUUUUAUUUUGAUACAAUAGUUAAUAUUGUUUCCAAACUCAUAUAACUGGUUGUGUAGGAAGGGGUCAGGUUUUUUUGUGUGCUUUCUCUCACUACUAUCUCCAAAAUUUUAAUGCUUUUAGUAUUUUAAUAUUUGAAAAUUAUUAAAAAAUUUGUCUAGCAAGAAAAAUAUAAUUUAAUCUUUUCUUCUCCUAGACCACAAAUAAAAAAAAUUGGAACAUAUUUCCCAUUUGUUUUUAAACGGUUGGACUAAUAAUCAACUUAUUGGCAUCAUGCAUUCCAGAUUUGGUAACAUUAAUUUCCAUGACUACACUUAGAACAAAAUAAUGAUAAUUAGUAAACAAAAUCCACAUCAAUCUUCUCAAAGAUGUUUUGCUGAUAUACUUUCCUUUUAGACAUAGUUUCAUAAGGAAAAAAAUAAAAACGUAAUAAUCUCAAAGAAUCCAAAGAAAUUAGUAUUCCUCCAUGCAACACAAAAUAAGAUACUAUAUAUAUUAAAUCCAUAAGCUAUAAAUUUCCACCAACAUAGUUAAUUAGAUAUAAAGAGAUGGCAAAGUUUUCAUUCAAUUUGUUUAUAUUUGCUGUCAUCUUAAUCUUUGCAACUCGUUAGUUUCUUCCUAUGCAGCUCUUUUAUUUCCUUUGGUAUAAAUAUUAUGUUUUUGUUUAAUUUAACACAAGGGAAUUUUUGCUGCAGACUCAGAGAUGAUGGCGGAGGCAAGAGGACCUGUUAUUUCGUGUAGAUGCAGCAAAACCGAAGACUGUCAGGGUAUUUGCGCCGUGUGCCCCAACUAUAGCUGCAUUAAUAACCUUUGUACUUGCCUUUCAAACGCACCUCCAUUUCCAUAGUCUUAGAAUCUACACACUCCAACAGUUGAAUGAAAUGGUGGGAUUUUUUUGUGUAAUUUGAAAUAAAUUAUCAUGCAAUGGAUCUAAUAAGAAAAAAUAUUGUAAUUAUUGUAAUUUUAAUUUUCUUUUUACCCUUCUCUGCGCCUCCCCUCCCCCUUUCUAGUAACGAAAAGUAUGUUACAUUUCAAAUAUAUAAAAAGAGUUACAAUCUUGUUUUAAAACUAAAAGAAAUAACAGUAAGAACAAAAGAUAGGAGAAAAAUUAAGACACAAAAUGAGAUGAUAAUUCUUCUUUCUACUUGUAUCUCAUAAGCUUGUAUAUGGCUUCAAUCUAUAGGGCUUCAACAAUGAUAGGCUAAAAAUAAUAUAAAUAGGAAUUUCAAAACUCGCAAUAACUUGAAUGGGUAUUUCAUAAGUUUCAAAUUCCACCGUAUUCUUUUGGUGGGGACACUUUGUUAAUUUAUUAACAACACUAUGCACUAGAUGUGUAUCGAAUGGAAACGAGCUCUGUUAAAACUUUAUUAGAAAAAAUUGCAUAAGCACCUAUAAUAAGCUAAAACAUUAAAGACAUUUCAUGGGAAAACUUAGCUGGACAAUACCUUGGGUAAAGGAAAGAGUAAACAUGUUUUAGACUCCCCCUAAUUUUAAAAAUAUUGAAACAUGGUACAAAUUUUGAAACAAUUUUUUGUUGCUAACUACUUCGUCAAGGAGAAUCAUACUAUGAAGACAUGCCUUUUUAAUUACAAUGAUAACCAUUGAGUUUCAUUGUAUACUCUAGGUUCAUUUGCCAAUAACUCUUUUGCACAUCAUAAUAUAGGUGGGGGCGAAUAAAACUUUAAAUUAAGCGACAUUAAUACAUGCAUUAAAGCCUCCAUUAAUUUCUUAGAAGUUUAUUUUUAUGUCCACAAUCAACAUUUUUCUUAUGCGGACAUGAGACCUUGCUAUUGCAUAUGACUUAAGGAAAACUGUAUAUUAAAUUUAGCCUCGUGGCUUUGGAGAUUUCUACAUCCUAUCUCUCUUUCUUACUCCGUUUCAAGGAUGUUCAUGUAGACCACCUGAUAGAUAGUUGUAUGGUUUCUUUAUUCUUAUUGAAACACAUAUCGAGUCUUUCUUGACAUCACUGUGACUUUAAUAGUCAUUACCAAUAUGGUUUGACUCUUGCAGGUUUUGAGUACAUUGGCGUGUCAUUCGGCCCAAUUAAAGGCUAUUAUUGUUGUUUCAAUUUGAGAUCGCUCUCUUCUAGUUUUUCUUCUUCUUUUCUCAUUUUGGUUUCCUACCCUUUAUAUGCUUGUUGUAGUAUUUUUCCUUAAGUUAAUUUUGGAAAUACAUAGAAUCUAUUGAAUGGAGUGCCAUUAAUCUUAUCAACAUUAUAUCUCAUCAUCUUCUUGCUUGUUUUUAGGAUCUUCAUGGCCAUGGUUAGACAAGAGUUUAUCUAUCUUGUAACACUUAUUUUGGGACAUGCAAUGUGCACAUUUUCUAUAAGUCCUACACUUUUACCAGUUGUUUCAAUGAGGCCAUCUUUAGGUAUUUCCCCCUCUAUUUAUUUCAUUAGUCAAAUUGGAUGUACUUUUAUGAACUUAAAUCAAACAAUCACUUUUUGCGUUUUUGUAACCUCUCUUUUCAGGUCUGAUAACAUCGAUCAAGAAGUUGAGCUCCUCCAUGGAUAGCCUUGGUUGUUUGUUUCCAUUUAUUCACAAUCUCUUGCAACAAAUUUUGACAUUUUAACUGUAGUGAUAGUUUUAUUAGCCUUGUAGCGAGCCCAAGAUACCAACUGCUCCCACCCAUGAUUUUGAAUUUUAAAUACUUUAUUUAAAUGAUUUUGAUGUUUAGAAAUUUAAAAAAUAAACUAAUUUUCUUUUAGGUGAGAAUUAACCCAAAAUUGGUAUUGCCUAUCCAUGAACCUCUUACCUCAAGUUGGUCUGGACUGUGAGGUCGAAAGAUAAGUAGUUGUUGCCAACUCAUUAGUUUAGUGGAAGAUCGAGAGAUCCUACUAGGUUAGCGACUAAUUGAUUGAGUAGAACCAAAAAUAGGAUUUAGUUAUGACCACUGAAGCGAGCUAAUCACUCAUGCUUAGAUUUUAUUGAAUCACAUAUUACUUCUCCAUCUUUUUUAUUUUAUGCAAGCUUAUUUCUUUUCUUAUAAAAACAACUAUUUUUCACUUUAUGAUCAUCGUACUAUAAUUUAUUUAAGUUACUAAUUAGAUCUAUUUGCGUUUAGGUUAAUAUUAAUUUAGUACUUGUCUCCCUUGGGUACGAUCCUCGAGUACUCACCUACUUCGUUGUAAAACUAUAUUACAGCCUGACUCGUAUACUUGAGGACACCGCCUCAAUUCAAUAUAUACUUUUAGCAAUAUUCACACUCUGGAUUCUAGUACGUCCGAAGGCGGUCACUUUCCAAAGUGGCGCGUAGUUUAUCUGCAAAUCAGUGGUGGCUCGUCUACAAUCCGGAGUGAUAUGUUAGACGAGUUCUGGGGAAUUCAUACGUGAGGUGUGUAGCGGAGUUGGGUAGGACUUUUCUGUUAAUUUGAAACUUCAAUGCAUUCAUAAGCACGUGCAUAUAAAAUUGUGAAUACCAAUAUAGUGAAGUGAAGCGUUUUAUGUGAAAAACAGUUAAUCUGAGGUGCUUUGUGGUUGUCUUUAAUCUCAAGAUUGCUAAUUCAUGUGCCUUAUUGGUUUGUUGUUUUAUUUUGAUUUUCUUGUGACUGAACUCACAUUGAGCUUCAUAGCUCACUGCCCUUUAGUUCCCAUCCUUAUAGAUAACCCACCAGGUUGGGAUGCGACAUAUGGAGGGUCGAAAAAGUUUUAAUGUUAUGAAAGUGUUGUUAUGCUUAUUUUAAAAUUUAUGAUAUUUCGGAACUGUACUGUAUUGUUUAUUUUCUAGCAUUGGAUUCAUAUUUAGGUUUUGGUUUUAUAUUGCAAGCAUGACAUAUAAAUUGUUGUUUUUAAGAUGAUGAAAUAAGGAUUUCAAUUAAAUAUGCAUGAAAUAUAGAUGUUAGUAAAACUCAUGAAAAGCCAUUUUUCCGCUGAAAGGUCAUAAUAAAAUUUUAUCUAAUAACUACAAUAUAACUAUGUUUCCAAUAGUUAUCACAUUUUACAAGAAAAAUAUUAGUUUAAUUGUAUUUUAUAUACCCAUGAUUUGUUUUCUAAAAAUAGACACAGUCUUUGUAAGGAUAAAAAAAUAUUUUAAUGUGACUAUUUAAAAUCUUCGAUUGCACUAGGCCAUCACGGUGGCCGAUGUAAUCUCCCGAACUCGGGCCUACCGUCUAGGCCAAUUUGGGGAGGUUACAAUUUCAAUGCCAUAAAGUACUAAAACCAUAUUUUCAAUCAUCUUCAGCAUAGAUUAUUUCAUGUUGAUAUGAGUUGAAUUAAAAUAUUUAAUUUGAACUUAUAAAUUUGUCAUAUUUAAGGGGAAAAAAAGUGGUUUUUACUUCAAACAAAAAGAAGAGAUAAAUUGUUACCAACUAAAUUGAUGAACAAGAAUUUGAUAUGAUAUAUACGUGAAUACAAUAAAAAUACAUUAAUUGCGCUACAAUUGUGUAUAAUAUCCUUUUUAUUUAGUUAUAUUGUGUUUGUACAAAAUUUGUAAAGAUAAAAUACUAUGCAUCAAAUAUGUUCAAUUCUAAUUCUAAUUCUAAUUCUAAUUCUAAUUCUAAUUCCAGUUCCAAUUUGAGUUUGAACUUGAUUUGGAACACAAAAAUUGAGCAUGAUGCCAAGUAUGAGAAUCCAACUCAAGUCUUAUCAAAUAAACAAGCCUAAAUAAAUCUAGUAAAGCUAAUUAAAGCAGUUUAAUCUUUAUCUCGUAUCAAGUUUAUAUUUUAAAAGUUAAACUCAAUGAAGUUAUAUUGGAGCAUUCAAUUCUCUAGGUUUCUUUGGAGAUUGAGAUUGAAUUUCUUGGCUCAGUUCAACCCCAUUAAAUAACUUUAAAUUUUUUAUUUUGAUACAAUAGUUAAUAUUGUUUCCAAACUCAUAUAACUGGUUGUGUAGGAAGGGGUCAGGUUUUUUUGUGUGCUUUCUCUCACUACUAUCUCCAAAAUUUUAAUGCUUUUAGUAUUUUAAUAUUUGAAAAUUAUUAAAAAAUUUGUCUAGCAAGAAAAAUAUAAUUUAAUCUUUUCUUCUCCUAGACCACAAAUAAAAAAAAUUGGAACAUAUUUCCCAUUUGUUUUUAAACGGUUGGACUAAUAAUCAACUUAUUGGCAUCAUGCAUUCCAGAUUUGGUAACAUUAAUUUCCAUGACUACACUUAGAACAAAAUAAUGAUAAUUAGUAAACAAAAUCCACAUCAAUCUUCUCAAGGAUGUUUUGCUGAUAUACUUUCCUUUUAGACAUAGUUUCAUAAGGAAAAAAAUAAAAACGUAAUAAUCUCAAAGAAUCCAAAGAAAUUAGUAUUCCUCCAUGCAACACAAAAUAAGAUACUAUAUAUAUUAAAUCCAUAAGCUAUAAAUUUCCACCAACAUAGUUAAUUAGAUAUAAAGAGAUGGCAAAGUUUUCAUUCAAUUUGUUUAUAUUUGCUGUCAUCUUAAUCUUUGCAACUCGUUAGUUUCUUCCUAUGCAGCUCUUUUAUUUCCUUUGGUAUAAAUAUUAUGUUUUUGUUUAAUUUAACACAAGGGAAUUUUUGCUGCAGACUCAGAGAUGAUGGCGGAGGCAAGAGGACCUGUUAUUUCGUGUAGAUGCAGCAAAACCGAAGACUGUCAGGGUAUUUGCGCCGUGUGCCCCAACUAUAGCUGCAUUAAUAACCUUUGUACUUGCCUUUCAAACGCACCUCCAUUUCCAUAGUCUUAGAAUCUACACACUCCAACAGUUGAAUGAAAUGGUGGGAUUUUUUUGUGUAAUUUGAAAUAAAUUAUCAUGCAAUGGAUCUAAUAAGAAAAAAUAUUGUAAUUAUUGUAAUUUUAAUUUUCUUUUUACCCUUCUCUGCGCCUCCCCUCCCCCUUUCUAGUAGCGAAAAGUAUGUUACAUUUCAAAUAUAUAAAAAGAGUUACAAUCUUGUUUUAAAACUAAAAGAAAUAACAGUAAGAACAAAAGAUAGGAGAAAAAUUAAGACACAAAAUGAGAUGAUAAUUCUUCUUUCUACUUGUAUCUCAUAAGCUUGUAUAUGGCUUCAAUCUAUAGGGCUUCAACAAUGAUAGGCUAAAAAUAAUAUAAAUAGGAAUUUCAAAACUCGCAAUAACUUGAAUGGGUAUUUCAUAAGUUUCAAAUUCCACCGUAUUCUUUUGGUGGGGACACUUUGUUAAUUUAUUAACAACACUAUGCACUAGAUGUGUAUCGAAUGGAAACGAGCUCUGUUAAAACUUUAUUAGAAAAAAUUGCAUAAGCACCUAUAAUAAGCUAAAACAUUAAAGACAUUUCAUGGGAAAACUUAGCUGGACAAUACCUUGGGUAAAGGAAAGAGUAAACAUGUUUUAGACUCCCCCUAAUUUUAAAAAUAUUGAAACAUGGUACAAAUUUUGAAACAAUUUUUUGUUGCUAAAUACUUCGUCAAGGAGAAUCAUACUAUGAAGACAUGCCUUUUUAAUUACAAUGAUAACCAUUGAGUUUCAUUGUAUACUCUAGGUUCAUUUGCCAAUAACUCUUUUGCACAUCAUAAUAUAGGUGGGGGCGAAUAAAACUUUAAAUUAAGCGACAUUAAUACAUGCAUUAAAGCCUCCAUUAAUUUCUUAGAAGUUUAUUUUUAUGUCCACAAUCAACAUUUUUCUUAUGCGGACAUGAGACCUUGCUAUUGCAUAUGACUUAAGGAAAACUGUAUAUUAAAUUUAGCCUCGUGGCUUUGGAGAUUUCUACAUUCUAUCUCUCUUUCUUACUCCGUUUCAAGGAUGUUCAUGUAGACCACCUGAUAGAUAGUUGUAUGGUUUCUUUAUUCUUAUUGAAACACAUAUCGAGUCUUUCUUGACAUCACUGUGACUUUAAUAGUCAUUACCAAUAUGGUUUGACUCUUGCAGGUUUUAAGUACAUUGGCGUGUCAUUCGGCCCAAUUAAAGGCUAUUAUUGUUGUUUCAAUUUGAGAUCGCUCUCUUCUAGUUUUUCUUCUUCUUUUCUCAUUUUGGUUUCCUACCCUUUAUAUGCUUGUUGUAGUAUUUUUCCUUAAGUUAAUUUUGGAAAUACAUAGAAUCUAUUGAAUGGAGUGCCAUUAAUCUUAUCAACAUUAUAUCUCAUCAUCUUCUUGCUUGUUUUUAGGAUCUUCAUGGCCAUGGUUAGACAAGAGUUUAUCUAUCUUGUAACACUUAUUUUGGGACAUGCAAUGUGCACAUUUUCUAUAAGUCCUACACUUUUACCAGUUGUUUCAAUGAGGCCAUCUUUAGGUAUUUCCCCCUCUAUUUAUUUCAUUAGUCAAAUUGGAUGUACUUUUAUGAACUUAAAUCAAACAAUCACUUUUUGCGUUUUUGUAACCUCUCUUUUCAGGUCUGAUAACAUCGAUCAAGAAGUUGAGCUCCUCCAUGGAUAGCCUUGGUUGUUUGUUUCCAUUUAUUCACAAUCUCUUGCAACAAAUUUUGACAUUUUAACUGUAGUGAUAGUUUUAUUAGCCUUGUAGCGAGCCCAAGAUACCAACUGCUCCCACCCAUGAUUUUGAAUUUUAAAUACUUUAUUUAAAUGAUUUUGAUGUUUAGAAAUUUAAAAAAUAAACUAAUUUUCUUUUAGGUGAGAAUUAACCCAAAAUUGGUAUUGCCUAUCCAUGAACCUCUUACCUCAAGUUGGUCUGGACUGUGAGGUCGAAAGAUAAGUAGUUGUUGCCAACUCAUUAGUUUAGUGGAAGAUCGAGAGAUCCUACUAGGUUAGCGACUAAUUGAUUGAGUAGAACCAAAAAUAGGAUUUAGUUAUGACCACUGAAGCGAGCUAAUCACUCAUGCUUAGAUUUUAUUGAAUCACAUAUUACUUCUCCAUCUUUUUUAUUUUAUGCAAGCUUAUUUCUUUUCUUAUAAAAACAACUAUUUUUCACUUUAUGAUCAUCGUACUAUAAUUUAUUUAAGUUACUAAUUAGAUCUAUUUGCGUUUAGGUUAAUAUUAAUUUAGUACUUGUCUCCCUUGGGUACGAUCCUCGAGUACUCACCUACUUCGUUGUAAAACUAUAUUACAGCCUGACUCGUAUACUUGAGGACACCGCCUCAAUUCAAUAUAUACUUUUAGCAAUAUUCACACUCUGGAUUCUAGUACGUCCGAAGGCGGUCACUUUCCAAAGUGGCGCGUAGUUUAUCUGCAAAUCAGUGGUGGCUCGUCUACAAUCCGGAGUGAUAUGUUAGACGAGUUCUGGGGAAUUCAUACGUGAGGUGUGUAGCGGAGUUGGGUAGGACUUUUCUGUUAAUUUGAAACUUCAAUGCAUUCAUAAGCACGUGCAUAUAAAAUUGUGAAUACCAAUAUAGUGAAGUGAAGCGUUUUAUGUGAAAAACAGUUAAUCUGAGGUGCUUUGUGGUUGUCUUUAAUCUCAGGAUUGCUAAUUCAUGUGCCUUAUUGGUUUGUUGUUUUAUUUUGAUUUUCUUGUGACUGAACUCACAUUGAGCUUCAUAGCUCACUGCCCUUUAGUUCCCAUCCUUAUAGAUAACCCACCAGGUUGGGAUGCGACAUAUGGAGGGUCGAAAAAGUUUUAAUGUUAUGAAAGUAUUGUUAUGCUUAUUUUAAAAUUUAUGUUAUUUCGGAACUGUACUGUAUUAUUUAUUUUCUGGCAUUGGAUUCAUAUUUAGGUUUUGGUUUUAUAUUGUAAGCAUGACAUAUAAAUUGUUGUUUUUAAGAUGAUGAAAUAAGGAUUUCAAUUAAAUAUGCAUGAAAUAUAGAUGUUAGUAAAACUCAUGAAAAGCCAUUUUUCCGCUGAAAGGUCAUGAUUAAAUUUUGUCUAAUAACUACAAUAUAACUAUGUUUCCAAUAGUUAUCACAUUUUACAAGAAAAAUAUUAGUUUAAUUGUAUUUUAUAUACCCAUGAUUUGUUUUCUAAAAAUAGACACAGUCUUUGUAAGGAUAAAAAAAUAUUUUAAUGUGACUAUAUAAAAUCUUCGAUUGCACUAGGCCAUCACGGUGGCCGAUGUAAUCUCCCGAACUCGGGCCUACCGUCUAGGCCAAUUUGGGGAGGUUACAAUUUCAAUGCCAUAAAGUACUAAAACCAUAUUUUCAAUCAUCUUCAGCAUAGAUUAUUUCAUGUUGAUAUGAGUUGAAUUAAAAUAUUUAAUUUGAACUUAUAAAUUUGUCAUAUUUAAGGGGAAAAAAAGUGGUUUUACUUCAAACAAAAAGAAGAGAUAAAUUGUUACCAACUAAAUUGAUGAACAAGAAUUUGAUAUGAUAUAUACGUGAAUACAAUAAAAAUACAUUAAUUGCGCUACAAUUGUGUAUAAUAUCGUUUUUAUUUAGUUAUAUUGUGUUUGUACAAAAUUUGUAAAGAUAAAAUACUAUGCAUCAAAUAUGUUCAAUUCUAAUUCUAAUUCUAAUUCUAAUUCUAAUUCUAAUUCUAAUUCCAGUUCCAAUUUGAGUUUGAACUUGAUUUGGAACACAAAAAUUGAGCAUGAUGCCAAGUAUGAGAAUCCAACUCAAGUCUUAUCAAAUAAACAAGCCUAAAUAAAUCUAGUAAAGCUAAUUAAAGCAGUUUAAUCUUUAUCUCGUAUCAAGUUUAUAUUUUAAAAGUUAAACUCAAUGAAGUUAUAUUGGAGCAUUCAAUUCUCUAGGUUUCUUUGGAGAUUGAGAUUGAAUUUCUUGGCUCAGUUCAACCCCAUUAAAUAACUUUAAAUUUUUUAUUUUGAUACAAUAGUUAAUAUUGUUUCCAAACUCAUAUAACUGGUUGUGUAGGAAGGGGUCAGGUUUUUUUGUGUGCUUUCUCUCACUACUAUCUCCAAAAUUUUAAUGCUUUUAGUAUUUUAAUAUUUGAAAAUUAUUAAAAAAUUUGUCUAGCAAGAAAAAUAUAAUUUAAUCUUUUCUUCUCCUAGACCACAAAUAAAAAAAAUUGGAACAUAUUUCCCAUUUGUUUCUAAACGGUUGGACUAAUAAUCAACUUAUUGGCAUCAUGCAUUCCAGAUUUGGUAACAUUAAUUUCCAUGACUACACUUAGAACAAAAUAAUGAUAAUUAGUAAACAAAAUCCCCAUCAAUCUUCUCAAGGAUGUUUUGCUGAUAUACUUUCCUUUUAGACAUAGUUUCAUAAGGAAAAAAAUAAAAACGUAAUAAUCUCAAAGAAUCCAAAGAAAUUAGUAUUCCUCCAUGCAACACAAAAUAAGAUACUAUAUAUAUUAAAUCCAUAAGCUAUAAAUUUCCACCAACAUAGUUAAUUAGAUAUAAAGAGAUGGCAAAGUUUUCAUUCAAUUUGUUUAUAUUUGCUGUCAUCUUAAUCUUUGCAACUCGUUAGUUUCUUCCUAUGCAGCUCUUUUAUUUCCUUUGGUAUAAAUAUUAUGUUUUUGUUUAAUUUAACACAAGGGAAUUUUUGUUGCAGACUCAGAGAUGAUGGCGGAGGCAAGAGGACCUGUUAUUUCGUGUAGAUGCAGCAAAACCGAAGACUGUCAGGGUAUUUGCGCCGUGUGCCCCAACUAUAGCUGCAUUAAUAACCUUUGUACUUGCCUUUCAAACGCACCUCCAUUUCCAUAGUCUUAGAAUCUACACACUCCAACAGUUGAAUGAAAUGGUGGGAUUUUUUUGUGUAAUUUGAAAUAAAUUAUCAUGCAAUGGAUCUAAUAAGAAAAAAUAUUGUAAUUGUUGUAAUUUUAAUUUUCUUUUUACCCUUCUCUGCGCCUCCCCUCCCCCUUUCUAGUAGCGAAAAGUAUGUUACAUUUCAAAUAUAUAAAAAGAGUUACAAUCUUGUUUUAAAACUAAAAGAAAUAACAGUAAGAACAAAAGAUAGGAGAAAAAUUAAGACACAAAAUGAGAUGAUAAUUCUUCUUUCUACUUGUAUCUCAUAAGCUUGUAUAUGGCUUCAAUCUAUAGGGCUUCAACAAUGAUAGGCUAAAAAUAAUAUAAAUAGGAAUUUCAAAACUCGCAAUAACUUGAAUGGGUAUUUCAUAAGUUUCAAAUUCCACCGUAUUCUUUUGGUGGGGACACUUUGUUAAUUUAUUAACAACACUAUGCACUAGAUGUGUAUCAAAUGGAAACGUGCUCUGUUAAAACUUUAUUAGAAAAAAUUGCAUAAGCACCUAUUAUAAGCUAAAACAUAAAAGACAUUUCAUGGGAAAACUUAGCUGGACAAUACCUUGGGUAAAGGAAAGAGUAAACAUGUUUUAGACUCUCCCUAAUUUUAAAAAUAUUGAAACAUGGUACAAAUUUUGAAACAAUUUUUAGUUGCUAAAUACUUCGUCAAGGAGAACCAUACUAUGAAGACAUGCCUUUUUAAUUACAAUGAUAACCAUUGAGUUUCAUUGUAUACUCUAGGUUCAUUUGCCAAUAACUCUUUUGCACAUCAUAAUAUAGGUGGGGGCGAAUAAAACUUUAAAUUAAGCGACAUUAAUACAUGCAUUAAAGCCUCCAUUAAUUUCUUAGAAGUUUAUUUUUAUGUCCACAAUCAACAUUUUUCUUAUGCGGACAUGAGACCUUGCUAUUGCAUAUGACUUAAGGAAAACUGUAUAUUAAAUUUAGCCUCCUGGCUUUGUAGAUUUCUACAGCCUAUCUCUCUUUCUUACUCCGUUGCAAGGAUGUUCAUGUAGACCACCUGAUAGAUAGUUGUAUGGUUUCUUUAUUUUUAUUGAAACACAUAUCGAGUCUUUCUUGACAUCACUGUGACUUUAAUAGUCAUUACCAAUAUGGUUUGACUCUUGCAGGUUUUGAGUACAUUGGCGUGUCAUUCGGCCCAAUUAAAGGCUAUUAUUGUUGUUUCAAUUUGAGAUCGCUCUCUUCUAGUUUUUCUUCUUCUUUUCUCAUUUUGGUUUCCUACCCUUUAUAUGCUUGUUGUAGUAUUUUUCCUUAAGUUAAUUUUGGAAAUACAUAGAAUCUAUUGAAUGGAGUGCCAUUAAUCUUAUCAACAUUAUAUCUCAUCAUCUUCUUGCUUGUUUUUAGGAUCUUCAUGGCCAUGGUUAGACAAGAGUUUAUCUAUCUUGUAACACUUAUUUUGGGACAUGCAAUGUGCACAUUUUCUAUAAGUCCUACACUUUUACCUGUUGUUUCAAUGAGGCCAUCUUUAGGUAUUUCCCCCUCUAUUUAUUUCAUUAGUCAAAUUGGAUGUACUUUUAUGAACUUAAAUCAAACAAUCACUUUUUGCGUUUUUGUAACCUCUCUUUUCAGGUCUGAUAACAUCGAUCAAGAAGUUGAGCUCCUCCAUGGAUAGCAUUGGUUGUUUGUUUCCAUUUAUUCACAAUCUCUUGCAACAAAUUUUGACAUUUUAACUGUAGUGAUAGUUUUAUUAGCCUUGUAGCGAGCCCAAGAUACCAACUGCUCCCACCCAUGAUUUUGAAUUUUAAAUACUUUAUUUAAAUGAUUUUGAUGUUUAGAAAUUUAAAAAAUAAACUAAUUUUCUUUUAGGUGAGAAUUAACCAAAAAUUGGUAUUGCCUAUCCAUGAACCUCUUACCUCAAGUUGGUCUGGACUGUGAGGUCGAAAGAUAGGUAGUUGUUGCCAACUCAUUAGUUUAGUGGAAGAUCGAGAGAUCCUACUAGGUUAGCGACUAAUUGAUUGAGUAGAACCAAAAAUAGGAUUUAGUUAUGACCACUGAAGCGAGCUAAUCACUCAUGCUUAGAUUUUAUUGAAUCAAAUAUUACUUCUCCAUCUUUUUUAUUUUAUGCAAGCUUAUUUCUUUUCUUAUAAAAACAACUAUUUUUCACUUUAUGAUCAUCGUACUAUAAUUUAUUUAAGUUACUAAUUAGAUCUAUUUGCGUUUAGGUUAAUAUUAAUUUAGUACUUGUCUCCCUUGGGUACGAUCCUCGAGUACUCACCUACUUCGUUGUAAAACUAUAUUACAACCUGACUCGUAUACUUGAGGACACUGCCUCAAUUCAAUAUAUACUUUUAGCAAUAUUCACACUCUAGAUUCUAGUACGUCCGAAGGCGGUCACUUUCCAAAGUGGCGCGUAGUUUAUCUGCAAAUCAGUGGUGGCUCGUCUACAAUCCGGAGUGAUAUGUUAGACGAGUUCUGGGGAAUUCAUACGUGAGGUGUGUAGCGGAGUUGGGUAGGACUUUUCUGUUAAUUUGAAACUUCAAUGCAUUCAUAAGCACGUGCAUAUAAAAUUGUGAAUACCAAUAUAGUGAAGUGAAGCGUUUUAUGUGAAAAACAGUUAAUCUGAGGUGCUUUGUGGUUGUCUUUAAUCUCAGGAUUGCUAAUUCAUGUGCCUUAUUGGUUUGUUGUUUUAUUUUGAUUUUCUUGUGACUGAACUCACAUUGAGCUUCAUAGCUCACCGCCCUUUAGUUCCCAUCCUUAUAGAUAACCCACCAGGUUGGGAUGCGACAUAUGAAGGGUCGAAAAAGUUUUAAUGUUAUGAAAGUAUUGUUAUGCUUAUUUUAAAAUUUAUGUUAUUUCGGAACUGUACUCUAUUAUUUAUUUUCUAGCAUUGGAUUCAUAUUUAGGUUUUGGUUUUAUAUUGCAAGCAUGACAUAUAAAUUGUUGUUUUUAAGAUGAUGAAAUAAGGAUUUCAAUUAAAUAUGCAUGAAAUAUAGAUGUUAGUAAAACUCAUGAAAAGCCAUUUUUCCGCUGAAAGGUCAUAAUUAAAUUUUGUCUAAUAACUACAAUAUAACUAUGUUUCCAAUAGUUAUCACAUUUUACAAGAAAAAUAUUAGUUUAAUUGUAUUUUAUAUACCCAUGAUUUGUUUUCUAAAAAUAGACACAGUCUUUGUAAGGAUAAAAAAAUAUUUUAAUGUGCUAUUUAAAAUCUUCGAUUGCACUAGGCCAUCACGGUGGCCGAUGUAAUCUCCCGAACUCGGGCCUACCGUCUAGGCCAAUUUGGGGAGGUUACAAUUUCAAUGCCAUAAAGUACUAAAACCAUAUUUUCAAUCAUCUUCAGCAUUGAUUAUUUCAUAUUGAUAUGAGUUGAAUUAAAAUAUUUAAUUUGAACUUAUAAAUUUAUCAUAUUUAAGGGGAAAAAAAGUGGUUUUACUUCAAACAAAAAGAAGAGAUAAAUUGUUACCAACUAAAUUGAUGAACAAGAAUUUGAUAUGAUAUAUACGUGAAUACAAUAAAAAUACAUUAAUUGCGCUACAAUUGUGUAUAAUAUCCUUUUUAUUUAGUUAUAUUGUGUUUGUACAAAAUUUGUAAAGAUAAAAUACUAUGCAUCAAAUAUGUUCAAUUCUAAUUCUAAUUCUAAUUCUAAUUCUAAUUCCAGUUCCAAUUUGAGUUUGAACUUGAUUUGGAACACAAAAAUUGAGCAUGAUGCCAAGUAUGAGAAUCCAACUCAAGUCUUAUCAAAUAAACAAGCCUAAAUAAAUCUAGUAAAGCUAAUUAAAGCAGUUUAAUCUUUAUCUCGUAUCAAGUUUAUAUUUUAAAAGUUAAACUCAAUGAAGUUAUAUUGGAGCAUUCAAUUCUCUAGGUUUCUUUGGAGAUUGAGAUUGAAUUUCUUGGCUCAGUUCAACCCCAUUAAAUAACUUUAAAUUUUUUAUUUUGAUACAAUAGUUAAUAUUGUUUCCAAACUCAUAUAACUGGUUGUGUAGGAAGGGGUCAGGUUUUUUUGUGUGCUUUCUCUCACUACUAUCUCCAAAAUUUUAAUGCUUUUAGUAUUUUAAUAUUUGAAAAUUAUUAAAAAAUUUGUCUAGCAAGAAAAAUAUAAUUUAAUCUUUUCUUCUCCUAGACCACAAAAAAAAAAUUGGAACAUAUUUCCCAUUUGUUUCUAAACGGUUGGACUAAUAAUCAACUUAUUGGCAUCAUGCAUUCCAGAUUUGGUAACAUUAAUUUCCAUGACUACACUUAGAACAAAAUAAUGAUAAUUAGUAAACAAAAUCCCCAUCAAUCUUCUCAAGGAUGUUUUGCUGAUAUACUUUCCUUUUAGACAUAGUUUCAUAAGGAAAAAAAUAAAAACGUAAUAAUCUCAAAGAAUCCAAAGAAAUUAGUAUUCCUCCAUGCAACACAAAAUAAGAUACUAUAUAUAUUAAAUCCAUAAGCUAUAAAUUUCCACCAACAUAGUUAAUUAGAUAUAAAGAGAUGGCAAAGUUUUCAUUCAAUUUGUUUAUAUUUGCUGUCAUCUUAAUCUUUGCAACUCGUUAGUUUCUUCCUAUGCAGCUCUUUUCUUUCCUUUGGUAUAAAUAUUAUGUUUUUGUUUAAUUUAACACAAGGGAAUUUUUGUUGCAGACUCAGAGAUGAUGGCGGAGGCAAGAGGACCUGUUAUUUCGUGUAGAUGCAGCAAAACCGAAGACUGUCAGGGUAUUUGCGCCGUGUGCCCCAACUAUAGCUGCAUUAAAAACAUUUGUACUUGCCUUUCAAACGCACCUCCAUUUCCAUAGUCUUAGAAUCUACACACUCCAACAGUUGAAUGAAAUGGUGGGAUUUUUUUGUGUAAUUUGAAAUAAAUUAUCAUGCAAUGGAUCUAAUAAGAAAAAAUAUUGUAAUUGUUGUAAUUUUAAUUUUCUUUUUACCCGUCUCUGCCCCUCCCCCCCUUUCCAGUAGCGAAAAGCAUGUUACAUUUAAAAUCUAUAAAAAGAGUUACAAUCUUGUUUUAAAACUAAAAGAAAUAACAGUAAGAACAAAAGAUAGGAGAAAAAUUAAGACACAAAAUGAUAUGAUAAUUCUUCUUUCUACUUGUAUCUCAUAAGCUUGUAUAUGGCUUCAAUCUAUAGGGCUUCAACAAUGAUAGGCUAAAAAUAAUAUAAAUAGGAAUAUCAAAACUCGCAAUAACUUGAAUGGGUAUUUCAUAAGUUGCAAAUUCCACCGUAUUCUUUUGGUGGGGACACUUUGUUAAUUUAUUAACAACACUCUGCACUAGAUGUGUAUCAAAUGGAAACGUGCUCUGUUAAAACUUUAUUAGAAAAAAUUGCAUAAGCACCUAUUAUAAGCUAAAACAUAAAAGACAUUUCAUGGGAAAACUUAGCUGGACAAUACCUUGGGUAAAGGAAAGAGUAAACAUGUUUUAGACUCCCCCUAAUUUUAAAAAUAUUGAAACAUGGUACAAAUUUUGAAACAAUUUUUUGUUGCUAAAUACUUCGUCAAAGAGAAUCAUACUAUGAAGACAUGCCUUUUUAAUUACAAUGAUAACCAUUGAGUUUCAUUGUAUACUCUAGGUUCAUUUGCCAAUAGCUCUUUUGCACAACAUAAUAUAGGUGGGGGCGAAUCAAACUUUAAAUUAAGCGACAUUAAUACAUGCAUUAAAGCCUCCAUUAAUUUCUUAUAAGUUUAUUUUUAUAUCCACAAUCAACAUUUUUCUUAUGCGGACAUGAUACCUUGCUAUUGCAUAUCACUUAAGGAAAACUGUAUAUUAAAUUUAGCCUCAUGGCUUUGGAGAUUUCUACAUCCUAUCUCUCUUUCUUACUCCGUUGCAAGGAUGUUCAUGUAGACCACCUGAUAGAUAGUUGUAUGGUUUCUUUAUUCUUAUUGAAACACAUAUCGAGUCUUUCUUGACAUCACUGUGACUUUAAUAGUCAUUACCAAUAUGGUUUGACUCUUGCAGGUUUCGAGUACAGUGGCGUGUCAUUCGGCCCAAUUAAAGGCUAUUAUUGUUGUUUCAAUUUGAGAUCGCUCUCUUCUAGUUUUUCUUCUUCUUUUCUCAUUUUGGUUUCCUACCCUUUAUAUGCUUGUUGUAGUAUUUUUCCUUAAGUUAAUUUUGGAAAUACAUAGAAUCUAUUGAAUGGAGUGCCAUUAAUCUUAUCAACAUUAUAUCUCAUCAUCUUCUUGCUUGUUUUUAGGAUCUUUAUGGCCAUGGUUAGACAAGAGUUUAUCUAUCUUGUAACACUUAUUUUGGGACAUGCAAUGUGCACAAUUUCUAUAAGUCCUGCUCUUUUACCUGUUGUGUCAAUGAGGCCAUCUUUAGGUAUUUCCCCCUCUAUUUUGUUUCAUUAGUUAAAAUCAACCAAUCACUUUUUGUGUUUUUGUAACCUCUCUUUUCAGGUCUGAUAACAUCGAUCAUGAAGUUGAGCUCCUCCGUGGAUAGCCUUGGUUGUUUGUUUCCAUUUUUUCACAAUCUCUUGCAACAAAUUUUGAGAUUUUAAUUGUAUUGAUAGUUUUAUUAGCCUUGUAGCGAGCCCAAGAUACCAACUGCUCCCACCCAUGAUUUUAAAUUUUAAAUACUUUAUUUAAAUGAUUCUGAUGUUUAGAAAUUUAAAAAAUAAACUAAUUUUCUUCUAAAUUUUAUUACUUAGCGAUCCGCUGCUUGGGAGCGGAAGAACUUAAACCCUAGGCCAUACAAGACUAAGAAGUCAUCUAGGUGAGAAUUAACCCAAAAUUGGUAUUGCCUAUCCAUGAACCUCUUACCUCAAGUUGGUCUGGACUGUGAGGUCGAAAGAUAAGUACUUGUUGCCAACUCAUUAGUUUAGUGGAAGAUCGAGAGAUUCUACUAGGUUAGCGGCUAAUUGAUUGAGUAGAACCAGAAAUAGGAUUUAGUUAUGACCACAAAAGCGAGCUAAUCACUCAUGCUUAGAUUUUAUUGAAUCACAUAUUAGUUCUCCAUCUUUUUUAUUUUAUGCAAGUUUAUUUCUUUUCUUAUAAAAACAAUUGUUUUUCACUUUAUGAUCAUCGUACUAUAAUUUAUUUAAGUUACUAAUUAGAUCUAUUUUCGUUUAGGUUAAUAUUAAUUUAUUACUUGUCUGCCUUGGGUACGAUCCUCGAGUACUCACCUACUUCGUUGUAAAACUAUAUUACAACCUGACUCGUAUACUUGAGGAUACCGCCUCAAUUCAAUAUAUACUUUUAGCAAUAUUCACACUCUGGAUUCUAGUACCUCCGAAGGCGGUCACUUUCCAAAGUGGCGCGUAGUUUAUCUGCAAAUCAGUGGUGGCUCGUCUACAAUCCGGAGUGAUAUGUUAGACGAGUUCUGGGGAAUUCGUACGUGAGGUGUGUAGCGGAUUUGGGUAGGACUUUUCUGUUAAUUUGAAACUUCAAUGCAUUCAUAAGCACGUGCAUAUAAAAUUGUGAAUACCAAUAUAGUGAAGUGAAGCGUUUUAUGUGAAAAACCGUUAAUCUGAGGUGCCUUGUGGUUGUCUUUAAUCUCAGGAUUGCUAAUUCAUGUGCCUUAUUGGUUUGUUGUUUUAUUCUGAUUUUCUUGUGACUGAACUCACAUUGAGCUUCAUAGCUCACUGCCCUUUAGUUCCCAUCCUUGUAGAUAACCCACCAGGUUGGGAUGCGACAUAUGGAGGGCUCGAAAAAGUUUUAAUGUUAUGAAAGUAUUGUUAUGCUUAUUUUAAAAUUUAUGUUAUUUCGGAACUGUACUGUAUUAUUUAUUUUCUGGCAUUGGAUUCAUAUUUAGGUUUUGGUUUUAUAUUGCAAGCAUGACAUAUAAAUUUUUGUUUUUAAGAUGAUGAAAUAUGGAUUUCAAUUAAAUAUGCAUGAAAUAUAGAUGUUAGUAAAACUCAGGAAAAGCCAUUUUUCCGCUGAAAGGUCAUAAUUAAAUUUUGUCUAAUAACUACAAUAAAACUAAGUUCACAAUAGUUAUCACCUUUUACAAGAAAAAUAUUAGUUUAAUUGUAUUUUAUAUACCCAUGAUUUGUUUUCUACAAAUAGACAGAGUCUUUGUAAAGAUAAAAAAUGUUUUAAUGUGACUAUUUAAAAUGUUCGAUUUCUCUAGGCCAUCAUGGUGGCCGAUGUAAUCUCCCGACCUCGGGCCUACCGUCUAGGCCAAUUUGGGGAGGUUACAAUUUCAAUGCCAUAAAGUACUAAAACCAUAUUUUCAAUCAUCUUCAGCAUAAAUUAUUUCAUAUUGAUAUGAGUUGAAUUAAAAUAUUUAAUUUGAACUUAUAAAUUUGCCAUAUUUAAGGGGAAAAAAAGUUGUUUUACUUCAAACAAAAAGAAGAGAUAAAUUGUUACCAACUAAAUUGAUGAACAAGAAUUUGAUAUGAUAUAUACGUGAAUACAAUAAAAAUACAUUAAUUGCGCUACAAUUGUGUAUAAUAUCCUUUUUAUUUAGUUAUAUUGUGUUUGUACAAAAUUUGUAAAGAUAAAAUACUAUGCAUCAAAUAUGUUCAAUUCUAAUUCUAAUUCUAAUUCUAAUUCUAAUUCCAGUUCCAAUUUGAGUUUGAACUUGAUUUGGAACACAAAAAUUGAGCAUGAUGCCAAGUAUGAGAAUCCAACUCAAGUCUUAUCAAAUAAACAAGCCUAAAUAAAUCUAGUAAAGCUAACUAAAGCAGUUUAAUCUUUAUCUCGUAUCAAGUUUAUAUUUUAAAAGUUAAACUCAAUGAAGUUAUAUUGGAGCAUUCAAUUCUCUAGGUUUCUAUGGAGAUUGAGAUUGAAUUUCUUGGCUCAGUUCAACCCCAUUAAAUAACUUUAAAUUUUUUAUUUUGAUACAAUAGUUAAUAUUGUUUCCAAACUCAUAUAACUGGUUGUGUAGGAAGGGGUCAGGUUAUUUGUGUGCUUUCUCUCACUACUAUCUCCAAAAUUUUAAUGCUUUUAGUAUUUUAAUAUUUGAAAAUUAUUAAAAAAUUUGUCUAGCAAGAAAAAUAUAAUUUAAUCUUUUCUUCUCCUAGACCACAAAAAAAAUUGGAACAUAUUUCCCAUUUGUUUCUAAACGGUUGGACUAAUAAUCAACUUAUUGGCAUCAUGCAUUCCAGAUUUGGUAACAUUAAUUUCCAUGACUACACUUAGAACAAAAUAAUGAUAAUUAGUAAACAAAAUCCCCAUCAAUCUUCUCAAGGAUGUUUUGCUAAUAUACUUUCCUUUUAGACAUAGUUUCAUAAGGAAAAAAAUAAAAACGUAAUAAUCUCAAAGAAUCCAAAGAAAUUAGUAUUCCUCCAUGCAACACAAAAUAAGAUACUAUAUAUAUUAAAUCCAUAAGCUAUAAAUUUCCACCAACAUAGUUAAUUAGAUAUAAAGAGAUGGCAAAGUUUUCAUUCAAUUUGUUUAUAUUUGCUGUCAUCUUAAUCUUUGCAACUCGUUAGUUUCUUCCUAUGCAGCUCUUUUCUUUCCUUUGGUAUAAAUAUUAUGUUUUUGUUUAAUUUAACACAAGGGAAUUUUUGUUGCAGACUCAGAGAUGAUGGCGGAGGCAAGAGGACCUGUUAUUUCGUGUAGAUGCAGCAAAACCGAAGACUGUCAGGGUAUUUGCGCCGUGUGCCCAAACUAUAGCUGCAUUAAAAACAUUUGUACUUGCCUUUCAAACGCACCUCCAUUUCCAUAGUCUUAGAAUCUACACACUCCAACAGUUGAAUGAAAUGGUGGGAUUUUUUUUGUGUAAUUUGAAAUAAAUUAUCAUGCAAUGGAUCUAAUAAGAAAAAAUAUUGUAAUUAGGGUAAUUUUAAUUUUCUUUUUACCCGUCUCUGCCCCUCCCCCCCUUUCCAGUAGCGAAAAGCAUGUUACAUUUAAAAUCUAUAAAAAGAGUUACAAUCUUGUUUUAAAACUAAAAGAAAUAAUAGUAAGAAGAAAAGAUAGGAGAAAAAUUAAGACACAAAAUGAUAUGAUAAUUCUUCUUUCUACUUGUAUCUCAUAAGCUUCUAUAUGGCUUCAAUCUAUAGGGCUUCAACAAUGAUAGGCUAAAAUAAUAUAAAUAGGAAUAUCAAAACUCGCAAUAAAUUGAAUGGGUAUUUCAUAAGUUGCAAGUUCCACCGUAUUCUUUUGGUGGGGACACUUUGUUAAUUUAUCAACAACACUCUGCACUAGAUGUGUAUCAAAUGGAAACGUGCUCUGUUAAAACUUUAUUAGAAAAAAUUGCAUAAGCACCUAUUAUAAUCUAAAACUUUAAAAACAUUUUCUAGGAAAACUUAGCUGGACAAUACCUUGGGUAAAGGAAAGAGUAAACAUGUUUUAGACUCCCCCUAAUUUUAAAAAUAUUGAAACAUGGUACAAAUUUUGAAACAAUUUUUUGUUGCUAAAUACUUCGUCAAAGAGAAUCAUACUAUGAAGACAUGCCUUUUUAAUUACAAUGAUAACCAUUGAGUUUCAUUGUAUACUCUAGGUUCAUUUGCCAAUAGCUCUUUUGCACAACAUAAUAUAGGUGGGGGCGAAUCAAACUUUAAAUUAAGCGACAUUAAUACAUGCAUUAAAGCCUCCAUUAAUUUCUUAUAAGUUUAUUUUUAUAUCCACAAUCAACAUUUUUCUUAUGCGGACAUGAUACCUUGCUAUUGCAUAUCACUUAAGGAAAACUGUAUAUUAAAUUUAGCCUCAUGGCUUUGGAGAUUUCUACAUCCUAUCUCUCUUUCUUACUCCGUUGCAAGGAUGUUCAUGUAGACCACCUGAUAGAUAGUUGUAUGGUUUCUUUAUUCUUAUUGAAACACAUAUCGAGUCUUUCUUGACAUCACUGUGACUUUAAUAGUCAUUACCAAUAUGGUUUGACUCUUGCAGGUUUCGAGUACAGUGGCGUGUCAUUCGGCCCAAUUAAAGGCUAUUAUUGUUGUUUCAAUUUGAGAUCGCUCUCUUCUAGUUUUUCUUCUUCUUUUCUCAUUUUGGUUUCCUACCCUUUAUAUGCUUGUUGUAGUAUUUUUCCUUAAGUUAAUUUUGGAAAUACAUAGAAUCUAUUGAAUGGAGUGCCAUUAAUCUUAUCAACAUUAUAUCUCAUCAUCUUCUUGCUUGUUUUUAGGAUCUUUAUGGCCAUGGUUAGACAAGAGUUUAUCUAUCUUGUAACACUUAUUUUGGGACAUGCAAUGUGCACAAUUUCUAUAAGUCCUGCUCUUUUACCUGUUGUGUCAAUGAGGCCAUCUUUAGGUAUUUCCCCCUCUAUUUUGUUUCAUUAGUCAAAUUGGAUGUACAGUUAUGAACUUAAAAUCAACCAAUCACUUUUUGUGUUUUUGUAACCUCUCUUUUCAGGUCUGAUAACAUCGAUCAUGAAGUUGAGCUCCUCCGUGGAUAGCCUUGGUUGUUUGUUUCCAUUUUUUCACAAUCUCUUGCAACAAAUUUUGAGAUUUUAAUUGUAUUGAUAGUUUUAUUAGCCUUGUAGCGAGCCCAAGAUACCAACUGCUCCCACCCAUGAUUUUAAAUUUUAAAUACUUUAUUUAAAUGAUUCUGAUGUUUAGAAAUUUAAAAAAUAAACUAAUUUUCUUCUAAAUUUUAUUACUUAGCGAUCCGCUACUUGGGAGCGGAAGAACUUAAACCCUAGGCCAUACAAGACUAAGAAGUCAUCUAGGUGAGAAUUAACCCAAAAUUGGUAUUGCCUAUCCAUGAACCUCUUACCUCAAGUUGGUCUGGACUGUGAGGUCGAAAGAUAAGUACUUGUUGCCAACUCAUUAGUUUAGUGGAAGAUCGAUAGAUUCUACUAGGUUAGCGGCUAAUUGAUUGAGUAGAACCAGAAAUAGGAUUUAGUUAUGACCACAAAAGCGAGCUAAUCACUCAUGCUUAGAUUUUAUUGAAUCACAUAUUAGUUUUCCAUCUUUUUAAUUUUAUGCAAGUUUAUUUCUUUUCUUAUAAAAACAAUUGUUUUUCACUUUAUGAUCAUCGUACUAUAAUUUAUUUAAGUUACUAAUUAGAUCUAUUUGCGUUUAGGUUAAUAUUAAUUUAUUACUUGUCUGCCUUGGGUACGAUCCUCGAGUACUCACCUACUUCGUUGUAAAACUAUAUUACAACCUGACUCGUAUACUUGAGGACACCGCCUCAAUUCAAUAUAUACUUUUAGCAAUAUUCACACUCUGGAUUCUAGUACCUCCGAAGGCGGUCACUUUCCGAAGUGGCGCGUAGUUUAUCUGCAAAUCAGUGGUGGCUCGUCUACAAUCCGGAGUGAUAUGUUAGACGAGUUCUGGGGAAUUCGUACGUGAGGUGUGUAGCGGAGUCGGGUAGGACUUUUCUGUUAAUUUGAAACUUCAAUGCAUUCAUAAGCACAUGCAUAUAAAAUUGUGAAUACCAAUAUAGUGAAGUGAAGCGUUUUAUGUGAAAAACCGUUAAUCUGAGGUGCCUUGUGGUUGUCUUUAAUCUCAGGAUUGCUAAUUCAUGUGCCUUAUUGGUUUGUUGUUUUAUUCUGAUUUUCUUGUGACUGAACUCACAUUGAGCUUCAUAGCUCACUGCCCUUUAGUUCCCAUCCUUGUAGAUAACCCACCAGGUUGGGAUGCGACAUAUGGAGGGCUCGAAAAAGUUUUAAUGUUAUGAAAGUAUUGUUAUGCUUAUUUUAAAAUUUAUGUUAUUUCGGAACUGUACUGUAUUAUUUAUUUUCUAGCAUUGGAUUCAUAUUUAGGUUUUGGUUUUAUAUUGCAAGCAUGACAUAUAAAUUUUUGUUUUUAAGAUGAUGAAAUAUGGAUUUCAAUUAAAUAUGCAUGAAAUAUAGAUGUUAGUAAAACUCAGGAAAAGCCAUUUUUCCGCUGAAAGGUCAUAAUUAAAUUUUGUCUAAUAACUACAAUAUAACUAAGUUCACAAUAGUUAUCACCUUUUACAAGAAAAUAUUAGUUUAAUUGUAUUUUAUAUACCCAUGAUUUGUUUUCUAAAAAUAGACAGAGUCUUUGUAAAGAUAAAAAAUGUUUUAAUGUGACUAUUUAAAAUGUUCGAUUUCUCUAGGCCAUCAUGGUGGCCGAUGUAAUCUCCCGACCUCGAGCCUACCGUCUAGGCCAAUUUGGGGAGGUUACAAUUUCAAUGCCAUAAAGUACUAAAACCAUAUUUUCAAUCAUCUUCAGCGUAGAUUAUUUCAUGUUGAUAUGAGUUGAAUUAAAAUAUUUAACUUGAACUUAUAAAUUUGCCAUAUUUAAGGGGAAAAAAGUGGUUUUACUUCAAACAAAAAGAAGAGAUAAAUUGUUACCAACUAAAUUGAUGAACAAGAACUUGAUAUGAUAUAUACGUGAAUACAAUAAAAAUACAUUAAUUGCGCUACAAUUGUGCAUAAUAUCCUUUUUAUUUAGUUAUAUUGUGUUUGUACAAAAUUAGUAAAAAUAAAAUACUAUGCAUCAAAUAUGUUCAAUUCUAAUUCUAAUUCUAAUUCUAGUUCCAAUUUGAGUUUGAACUUGAUUUGGAACACAAAAAUUGAGCAUGAUGUCAAGAAUGGGAAUCCAACUCAAGUCUUAUCAAAUAAACAAGCCUAAUUAAAUUUAGUAAAGCUACUUAAAGCAGUUUAAUCUUUAUCUCGUAUCAAGUUUAUAUUUUAAAAGUUAAACUAAAUGAAGUUAUAUUGGAGCAUUCAAUUCUCUAGGUUUCUAUGGAGAUUGAGAUUGAAUUUUUUGGCUCUGUUAAACCCCAUUAAAUAACUUUAAAUUUUUUAUUUUGAUACAAUAGUUAAUAUUAUUUCCAAACUCAUAUAACUGGUUGUGUAGGAAGGGGUCAGGUUUUUUUGUCUGCUUUCUCUCACUACUAUCUCCAAAAUUUUAAUGCUUUUAGUAUUUUAAUAUUUGAAAAUAAUUAAAUAUAUAUAUUUGACUAACAGGAAAAAUAUAAUUUAAUCUUUUCUUCUCCUAGACCACAAAUAAAAAAAGAAUUGGAACAUAUUUCCCAUUUGUUUCUAAACAGUUGGACAAAUAAUCAACUUAUUGGCAUCAUGCAUUCCAGAUUUGGUAACAUUAAUUUCCAUGACUACACUUAGAACAAAAUAAUGAUAAUUAGUAAACAAAAUCCUCAUAAAUCUUCUCAAGGAUGUUUUUCUGGUUUACUUUCCUUUUAGACAUAGUUUCAUAAGGAAAAAAAUAAAAACGUAAUAAUCUCAAAGAAUCCAAAGAAAUUAGUAUUCCUCCAUGCAACACAAAAUAAGAUACUAUAUAUAUUAAAUCCAUAAGCUAUAAAUUUCCACCAACAUUGUUAAUUAGAUAUAAAGAGAUGGCAAAGUUUUCAUUCAAUUUGUGUAUAUUUGCUGCCAUCUUAAUCUUUGCAACUCGUUAGUUUCUUCCUAUGCAGCUCUUUUAUUUCCUUUGGUAUGAAUAUUAUGUUUUUGUUUAAUUUAACACAAGGGAAUUUUUGUUGCAGACUCAGAGAUGAUGGCGGAGGCUAGAGGACCUGUUAUUUCGUGUAGAUGUAGCAAAACCGAAGACUGUCAGGGUAUUUGCACCGUGUGCCCCAACUAUAGCUGCAUUAAUAACCUUUGUACUUGCCUUUCAAACACACCUCCAUUUCCAUAGUCUUAGAAUCUACACACUCCAACAGUUGAAUGAAAUGGUGGGAUUUUUUUGUGUAAUUUGAAAUAAAUUAUCAUGCAAUGGAUCUAAUAAGAAAAAAUAUUGUAAUUAUUGUAAUUUUAAUUUUCUUUUUACCCUUCUCUACCCCUCCCCCCCUUCUAGUAGCGAAAAGUAUGUUACAUUUCAAAUAUAUAAAAAGAGUUACAAUCUUGUUUUAAA